AUGUCAAUUUAAAAACGUUCUUAACAUUCGUCGUCUCAUAUAAGCAUAGUCAUGUUAGUUCGAGUUUGUUGACAGACAACAUAUGCACUUAUCGACUGACGCGCUUACCAACAAUCUGACUGCACUUAUGUCCCAGCGUUGCCGUGCUUCUUGUAAGUAAGCCUAUAUAUAUCUAUAUAUAGCAGUGUGACUACCUGCAAUCUUACGGGCUACACAACUUCAACAACGAAGUCCAUUCUUUGCAUCCAAAGAUUUAAACACAAGCACUUGAAGGUCUUCCUCGUUUUCUACAGGCUAGGAUUGUCUCUUCGCUGUUCUAGCACCCCCCACUGUCCCGUGUUUCAAAUUUCCCUAACACACCCGCUACGUCGUCUUCGGUGUCCUCCGUUACUAUGCUGUCCUAUCCACGUUGCUAGUAUAUUUUAGUCGGCAUGGCUUUGCCUAUGUCCGGCUGUAUAAUAAGGUUGACUAGAGGUGUAGGUUCUUGUAUGAGUCCCUCGUGAAUUACGUCUUCUUAAAGCGCCCCUCUUCAGACCCGAUUCAGGGGACGUUACCAGCAGCUGCCCCGUGCAAAUUGGCCCCCAGUACCCCUUAUACUCAAACUUGUACAGGAUCCUACUUGUAGUUAGUCGAAAUUUCGUGACCUUUGCUCUCUUGGUCGCUGGUUCAGUCGAUCGCUUAAGCGAAUUUCACGCUAAGAUUCGCACGAUAACAGCCAGUUGGGGGAAAACAUAGGCUACCUUAUGGUGCCGUGCAACAGGGAGGAGCGCUGACGACAGUGAUGAGUUGUUCGUGCGGUUGCAAAGUAGCACAUACAGUGUUCACAUUGAAAUUAAUGGAGGAGUUGGAUGGGUUGGGAAGCUUGUGAGGUUCUCAAGGUACUCAAAACGGUCAGUUAAGCCGACAAACGAACCUUCGGUUGUCAUCACGGUACUGGCAGAAGUAAUAGUAGGAGCGAAGGUAAUGAGACGUCGAGUGACUAUGUACAAAGACGCUUGCAAACGGCGUAGAUGCAGUGCUCUCUAUACAAGCUUUUCUGUGCGCAACUGAUUCAGCUUAGCCUCAAAUGCAAUCGUAGUCAGCAAAAUGCUUCAAUAAACUUAGUCGGGGCUGGAAAAUGUAGAGUGGGAAAAGAAACAAGGCAAGAAGAAUACCGAAACUUUAUUGGUGGAAGGUACAAAAAGACAAGGCGCCAUGUGAUGGCAGAUAGUCCCAAUGGAUCCUUCCUGCGUUGGUUACCACUCCGGAUGACGUUCGCCGUCCAGUAGCGCCAGUAGUAAUAAGAUGAUGGAUAUUAGGUUGGAACGCUAUCAUCGUUUACGUAGUACCAUGCACAUACGUCGCCCCCGGUGCCGCAACGCCAGGCCGCACCAGCAGCCUGGCAAAAUAAGGCAAUCUCUAGAAAUAUUUUGGUUCGUCGGAUAAACGUCUUUGCUAUCUGUUAGCGACCAGGAAAGCCAGGGCCUAGAAUCGCAAAUGUCAUGCAUUUAAGCAUGCGUUUCGGCAGGAAUGAUAAAACGUGAGGGUUAUUAUUAUUUAAUGCCGUAAAGGCUGCCGUGUAGAAUUGCAGGAAAAUUGUAGA